AUGAACAUAGCUUUCCUGACUAAGUGGCUGUGGAGGAAUGCGAACGGAGAGGGUGGCUUGUGGCUGCGCAUCAUCCAGCAGAAAUACCUCCGUGGUCAGCCACUCGCCUUCUGCCAGCGGUCUGAUGGGUCCCGGUUCUGGCAAUCAGUCACACAACUCCUUCCACUCCUCCGCAUCGGCACCUCCAUCGCGGUUGGAUCUGGCACCGCCAAGCUGUUUUGGUUCAAUAGAUGGGCUGGAGACUCCCCCUUCGCAGCUCGAUUCACUGACCUAUUCUCCAUCGCGGUAGAUCCGCGGAUUUCUCUAGCGAUGGCCCUUAUUAGCUUAGGGCACCUCGCCUUUUGGCAACCAUUUGGACCGACGGAAACUGAUGUGUGGCAGGACCUGCUCGACUGCAUUGCUUUGCACGAGCCGGAUCUGGAGAUAGGAGAGGACCGCACCAGGUGACGGCUAGAGCCAUCUAGACAAUUCUCCUCUAAAUCUCUCUACUAGGCGAUUGCUCCUUCGCCGGGCCACGAAGCUCUCACCACCAUCUGGGCGAUCCGGCUCCCCUUGAAGAUUAGGAUCUUCUUGUGGCAAUGGAUUCGCGGCCGCAUACCUUCUGGCAUUGAGGUCCUGACGCGCAACAGCCCUGGUGAUGGGUGGUGCCUGCUCUGCGGGCCUGAAGAGGACACGAACCAUAUCUUCUUCACAUGUGUGUCCGCAUAG
rnacentral:rRNA from 1 species